GCGGGUGUAGCUCAGCAGGUUAGAGCGCCAGAUUGUGGAUCUGGAGGUCGUGGGUUCAAGACCCAUCACUCGCCCCA
rnacentral:tRNA from 1 species